rnacentral:misc_RNA from 1 species
GGAAGUAAAAGUCGAACAAGGUCUCCGUAGGUGAACCUGCGGAGGGAUCAUUACCGAGCUCAUGCCCUACCGGGUAGAUCUCCCACCCUGUGUUAUUAUUACCUUUGUUGCUUUGGCGGGCCGCCGCGCUCCGGCCUCGCUACCGGCUCCGGCUGGUAAGCGCCCGCCAGAGGACCCCAAACCCUGAAUGUUAGUGUCGUCUGAGUACUAUAUAAUAGUUAAAACUUUCAACAACGGAUCUCUUGGUUCUG